GCCUGGGUGGCUCAGUGGGUUAAGUGUCUGACUUUGGCUCAGGUCAUGAUCUCAUGGUCCAUGGGUUUGAACCCUACCUCGGGCU
rnacentral:tRNA from 1 species